rnacentral:rRNA from 1 species
CACGCCGUAAACGAUGGGCACUAGAUGCUUGGGGGAGCGACCCCCUGAGUGUCGUCGCUAACGCAUUAAGUGCCCCGCCUGGGGAGUACGGCCGCAAGGCUGAAACUCAAAGGAAUUGACGGGGGCCCGCACAAGCGGUGGAGCAUGUGGUUUAAUUCGACGCAACGCGAAGAACCUUACCUAGGCUUGACAUACACGGGAAAGCUCGCAGAAACGUGAGCCCCUCUUCGGAGUCCGUGUACAGGUGCUGCAUGGCUGUCGUCAGCUCGUGUCGUGAGAUGUUGGGUUAAGUCCCGCAACGAGCGCAACCCCCGUUCUCAGUUGCUAACGCGUUAUGGCGAGGACUCUGGGAAGACUGCCGAUGCCAAAUCGGAGGAAGGUGGGGACGACGUCAAGUCAUCAUGGUCCUUACGUCUAGGGCUACACACGUGCUACAAUGGCCGGUACAGAGGGUUGCAAACGCGCAAGUGUGAGCCAAUCCCUAAAGCCGGCCUCAGUGCGGAUUGGAGGCUGCAACUCGCCUCCAUGAAGCUGGAAUCGCUAGUAAUCGUGGAUCAGCUACGCCACGGUGAAUACGUUCCCGGGCCCUUGUACUCACUGCCCCGGUACAAACGCACGUGUUA